UUUUCAAUUUUCCUCGGGAGUUAACUGCCGAAGUUUUCCUCGGCAGUUAACUGCCGAGGGACAU
rnacentral:pre_miRNA from 1 species